rnacentral:rRNA from 1 species
AUUGAACGCUGGCGGCAGGCCUAACACAUGCAAGUCGAGCGGAUGAAGGGAGCUUGCUCCUGGAUUCAGCAGCGGACUGGUGAGUAAUGCCUAGGAAUCUGCCUGGUAGUGGGGGAUAACGUCCGGAAACGGGCGCUAAUACCGCAUACGUCCUGAGGGAGAAAGUGGGGGAUCUUCGGACCUCACGCUAUCAGAUGAGCCUAGGUCGGAUUAGCUAGUUGGUGGGGUAAAGGCCUACCAAGGCGACGAUCCGUAACUGGUCUGAGAGGAUGAUCAGUCACACUGGAACUGAGACACGGUCCAGACUCCUACGGGAGGCAGCAGUGGGGAAUAUUGGACAAUGGGCGAAAGCCUGAUCCAGCCAUGCCGCGUGUGUGAAGAAGGUCUUCGGAUUGUAAAGCACUUUAAGUUGGGAGGAAGGGCAGUAAGUUAAUACCUUGCUGUUUUGACGUUACCAACAGAAUAAGCACCGGCUAACUUCGUG